rnacentral:misc_RNA from 1 species
CAACCCUUAAGCCCUGUUGCUUAGCGUUGGGAGCCCGCUGGCCUCUGGCCCGCAGCCCCUCAAAGUUAGUGGCGGAGUUAGUGUAUACUCUAGGCGUAGUAAUUUUCAUCUCGCUUCUGUGGUUACGCUGGCGCCUGCCGUAAAACACCCAAUUUUUCAAU